UUGUUCAUUCUGUGCUCACACGCAGACAAGAAGUCUGUAGCAGAUGACCUGUUCGGCGAGGCUGAUGACAUCUCUUCUGACAGUGAUGCAGAAAAGCCUCCCACCCCGGGACAGCCCAUGGAUACAGAAGAUGGUUUGGAAGGGGAGCAGGCAGAGGAGGAGCCUGUGCCUGAGACUCGUAUCGAAGUCGAGAUCCCCAAA